rnacentral:rRNA from 1 species
UUACCUACGGGGGGCAGCAGUGGGGAAUAUUGCACAAUGGGGGGAACCCUGAUGCAGCAAUGCCGCGUGGGUGAAGAAGCACUCCGGUGCGUAAAGCCCUGUCAGCAGGGAAGAAAAUGACAGUACCUGGACAAGAAGCCCCGGCUAACUACGUGCCAGCAGCCGCGGUAAUACGUAGGGGGCAAGCGUUAUCCGGAUUUACUGGGUGUAAAGGGAGCGUAGACGGCAGGGCAAGUCUGGAGUGAAAGCCCGGGGCCCAACCCCGGGACUGCUUUGGAAACUGCCAUGCUGGAGUGCUGGAGAGG